GAUGAACGCUGGCGGCGUGCUUAACACAUGCAAGUCGAACGGAAAGGCUCCUGCUUGCAGGGGUACUCGAGUGGCGAACGGGUGAGUAACACGUGGGUGAUCUGCCCUGCACUUCGGGAUAAGCCUGGGAAACUGGGUCUAAUACCGGAUAGGACCACAUUUUGGAUGGUGUGGUGGAAAGUUUUUCGGUGUGGGAUGAGCUCGCGGCCUAUCAGCUUGUUGGUGGGGUAAUGGCCUACCAAGGCGUCGACGGGUAGCCGGCCUGAGAGGGUGUACGGCCACAUUGGGACUGAGAUACGGCCCAGACUCCUACGGGAGGCAGCAGUGGGGAAUAUUGCACAAUGGGCGCAAGCCUGAUGCAGCGACGCCGCGUGGGGGAUGACGGCCUUCGGGUUGUAAACUCCUUUCGCUAGGGACGAAGCGCAAGUGACGGUACCUGGAGAAGAAUCACCGGCUAACUACGUG
rnacentral:rRNA from 1 species